rnacentral:rRNA from 1 species
UACGAAGGGGGCUAGCGUUGCUCGGAAUCACUGGGCGUAAAGCGCACGUAGGCGGAUUGUUAAGUCAGGGGUGAAAUCCUGGAGCUCAACUCCAGAACUGCCUUUGAUACUGGCGAUCUUGAGUCCGGGAGAGGUGAGUGGAACUGCGAGUGUAGAGGUGAAAUUCGUAGAUAUUCGCAAGAACACCGGUGGCGAAGGCGGUUCUCUGGGCCUUACCUGACGCUGAGGAGCGAAAGCGUGGGGAGCGAACAGG